rnacentral:rRNA from 1 species
UUAAGCUAUAAAGAGCACAGGGUGGAUGCCUAGGCACUGAGAGCCGAUGAAGGACGUGAUAAGCUGCGAAAAGCCACGGGGAGGAGCAAAUAUCCUUUGAGCCGUGGAUAUCCGAAUGGGGGAACCCACUUAAGUAAACCUUAAGUACUGACAAGCCAAUACAUAACUUGCCAGAGGGAACCCGGGGAACUGAAACAUCUAAGUACCCGGAGGAAGAGAAAGAAACAUCGAUUUCCUUAGUAGCGGCGAGCGAAAGGGAAAGAGCCCAAACCGAGAGAUUUAUCUUUCGGGGUUAGGACUGCAUAAUUGAUCUGCGAUUGAUAGGAGAAUGGUCUGGGAAGUCCAGCAGGAAAGCGUGAAAGCCGCGUAUCCGAAAUUGAAAGCAGCAAGGCAGUAUCCAGAGUACCACGAGACACGAGGAACCUUGUGGGAAUGAGCGGAGACCACUCCGUAAGGCUAAAUACUACUCAGUGACCGAUAGCGCAUAGUACUGUGAAGGAAAGGUGAAAAGGACCCCGGGAGGGGAGUGAAAGAGAACCUGAAACCCUGUGUUUACAAGCUGUCGGAGCACGUUAGUGCGACGGCGUACUUUUUGUAGAACGGUCCGGCGAGUUAUGAUACGCGGUAAGGUUAAGGACUUAAGGUCCGGAGCCGAAGCGAAAGCGAGUGUUAAGAGCACGAGGAAUCACGUAUCAUAGACCCGAAACCGGGUGAUCUAUCCAUGUCCAGGAUGAAGCUGCCGUAAGAGGUAGUGGAGGUCCGAACACACAUCCGUUGAAAAGGGUGGUGAUGAGGUGUGGAUAGGGGAGAAAUUCCAAUCGAACCCGGAGAUAGCUGGUUCUCCUCGAAAUAGCUUUAGGGCUAGCCUUCAGUUAGUCUGCCGCAGGUAGAGCACUGAAUUUCCUAGGGGGCGUCAAAGCCUACCGAAGAAUAUCAAACUGCGAAUGGCGGACAGAUGAUGCUGGGGAGUCAGACUGCACGAGAUAAGUUGGGUGGUCAAAAGGGAAAGAGCCCAGACCUACAGCUAAGGUCCCAAAGUGCGUGUUAAGUGGAAAAGGAUGUGGGAUUUCGAAGACAACUAGGAUGUUGGCUCAGAAGCAGCCAUACAUUAAAAGAGUGCGUAAUAGCUCACUAGUCGAGAGGUCCUGCGCCGAAAAUGUCCGGGGCUGAAACACAACACCGAAGCUGCGGAACCCGCAAGGGUUGGUAGAGGAGCAUUCUUAAAGGAACGAAGCAGUACCGUAAGGAGCUGUGGACUUUUAAGAAGAGAGAAUGCCGGAAUGAGUAGCGAGAGUAAGGUGAGAAUCCUUACGGCCGAAUAUCCAAGGUUUCCAGGGUAAAGCUGAUCUGCCCUGGGGAAGUCGGGACCUAAGGCGAGGCCGAGAGGCGUAGCCGAUGGACAACAGGUUGAGAUUCCUGUACUACAGUAUGACAGAACUGUGGGGACGCAGAAGGAGAGCACUACCUGGAAUGGAAUCCAGGGGCAAGCACAGGAGGGGUACGGCUGGAAAAACCGCCGUGCAACCCAAAGGUGUGACGCAUACCGAACUAAAGUAGGGAAAUGUGUGAGCCGGCUGCCGAGAAAAGCCGCUAUUGUUUGUACUGUACCCGUACCGUAAACCGACACAGGUGGAUGAGGAGAGAAUCCUAAGGCCGACGGAAGAAGCAUUGCUAAGGAACUCGGCAAAAUGACCCUGUAACUUCGGGAGAAAGGGUGCCUCGAAAGAGGCCGCAGAGAAUAGGCCCAAGCAACUGUUUAGCAAAAACACAGGUCUAUGCAAAACCGCAAGGUGAAGUAUAUGGGCUGACGCCUGCCCGGUGCUGGAAGGUUAAGGGGAGAGGUUAGCGCAAGCGAAGCUUUGAACUUAAGCCCCAGUAAACGGCGGCCGUAACUAUAACGGUCCUAAGGUAGCGAAAUUCCUUGUCGGGUAAGUUCCGACCCGC